rnacentral:rRNA from 1 species
AGGACGAACGCUGGCGGCGUGCAUCACACAUGCAAGUGGAGCGACGAACCAGGGCUUGCCCUGGGGCAAAGCCGCGAACGGGUGAGUAACACGUGGGUUACCUGCCCCGAUGACCGGGACAACCCGAGGAAACUCGGGCUAAUACCGGAUGUGCCCGCAAGGGGAAAGGAAGCUUCGGCCUCCGCAUCGGGAUGGGCCCGCGGCCCAUUAGCUUGUUGGUGAGGUAACGGCUCACCAAGGCAACGAUGGGUAGCUGGUCUGAGAGGACGAUCAGCCACACUGGGACUGAGACACGGCCCAGACUCCUACGGGAGGCAGCAGUGGGGAAUAUUGCGCAAUGGGCGAAAGCCUGACGCAGCGACGCCGCGUGGGGAUGAAGGCCUUCGGUUGUAAACCCCUUUCAGCAGGGACGAAGCGAAAGUGACGGUACCUGCAGAAGAAGCGCCGGCUAACUACGUGCCAGCAGCCGC